CCAUUUGGUAACCUGUAAAAGCUUUUCCGUAAAUGCUUUUCAAGUUUUUCUGAUGUUUGGUUUGUUGAAAAUGAUUUCCUACUGUAAAAUAUUUUACAAAAUAUGGGAAAAUGAUGUCUUUUUUUAGGAAAAUUCUUCGCUGGGUCUUGGCUUCCAUCUUCAAAAACUCAAAGCUAGCAAUCCCCAAAGCAUUCUUCUCCACCCAGGCUGUAAAACAGAACCCUAUUUCCAUCUUUCAAAGCCGCGAAAUCUGCCAUAAUAACCAAGAAGAGCCUUGAAAAGCUAGCGAAAAUCUUCAAACAAUGUUCCCAUUUGCCUACUUUCCUCCACCACCGCCUCAUCUACCACCUCUCCAUCCGCAAGCUAGCCUAUGCCAACCGCCUUGACCUCGUCGACCAGCUCCUCGAGACCCAAAAGCUCAAUUCUCAAUACACCCUUGCGCUCAAAUCCGAAGGUUUUUGGAUUCGUCUCAUUAUGCUUUACUCAAACGCUGGGAUGGUUCCACAAGCACUCUAAACGCUCGACGAUUUGUCUAGAAACAGCUUACCUUAUUAGUAGAUGCUUUGCCAAUGAGUUGUUCCCUAGUGCAACGCAAUGGUGCAAAUGAGUCCUGCUAUGAAAGUCGCGCAUAUUUAUAUCAGCACCAAACUGCAGCAGCAGCUCAAGCAUCACACAAUUCCCACAUUGGCAUGCCUGAUGCAACAAUGAACAACCUUGUAGACAGUUCCCCGGGUCAUUUGAAUCCUUGAUUCUCUGACAGUCCAAUGGAUCAUGCUGUCCCUUUCCUCUUUCUGGUUUUCAAGAGACGAGUCUUGUGCAUCAACAACAUUAUGUGGUGUACUAUUAGUUAUGCCCUUGGACAAUGUUGUUGUUAUUAUGUGGUGUACUACUAAUUAUGUAUUUGGAAUAAUAUUAUUAAUUUCUAGUAUUAAUUGUGGUUUGGAGGCUAUUUUAUAAUUA